AUUGAACGCUGGCGGCAGGCCUAACACAUGCAAGUCGAACGGCAGCGGGGGAUAGCUUGCUAUCCUGCCGGCGAGUGGCGGACGGGUGAGUAAUGCAUGGGGAGCUGCCCAGUCGAGGGGGAUAACAACUGGAAACGGUUGCUAAUACCACAUACGCCCUAAGGGGGAAAGGUGGGGAACUUCGGUCCUACCGCGAUUGGAUGCGCCCAUGUGGGAUUAGCUAGUUGGUGAGGUAACGCCUCACCAAGGCGACGAUCUCUAGCUGGUCUGAGAGGAUGACCAGCACACUGGAACUGAGACACGGUCCAGACUCCUACGGGAGGCAGCAGUGGGGAAUAUUGCACAAUGGGGGAAACCCUGGUGCAGCCAUGCCGCGUGUGUGAAGAAGGCCUUCGGGUUGUAAAGCACUUUCAGUCAGGAGGAAGGGGUGAUGGCUAAUAUCCAUCAUCAUUGACGUUACUGACAGAAGAAGCACCGGCUAACUCCGUGCCAGCCGCCGCCGUAA
rnacentral:rRNA from 1 species